AUAUAUAUAUAUAUAUAUAUAUAUAUAUAGACACACAAAGGAGUGUUUGUUUGCGGGAUGGGACGAGAAGCAGCUUGGACGCUUUGCUAAGGUGGAACUUCUUUUAAAGUAGCAUCCAAGCUGCUUUUUUUGUCUUUACCUCAUUUUACCUGAUAAAAAAUGUCCCUUCGACAAAUAUUUUGUAAGUCACUCCUUUAGGAAAGAUGACUUUGAAAAGGAAGAGAAAAUCCGUAAGUCAAUGAGCAUUGAUGAAUUCCUGAAACCAGUUGGGGAACGAGGACACUGGCGUGAGAGGCCUUGUGGAGGCCAUACUUGCAGGAGGCCAUGCAGUGGUCGUGGACACAUUAUUAAUGGUGAGAGGCUGAAUGCUAGCCGUGUCAUCAGUCUGACAGCAGUCGUGGAGUUAAGUUAAAGAAGCUAAACAAUGGAGGAGAAAGCAGGAGAGAUAUUGGUGAUGGUGAAAUAUCAAUAGCUGCGCAUGGGGUUGGAUAAACUUCUGCCUGUGGAUCCUAAUCAAUUUCCUGCCCAGGGAUUGGGAAGAGGGGUAAAAGGAUAAGGUUUCUAUAGUUUUAGUUGUAAUUGCAGUUAUUAGAUCCGGCCUUAACUUUGAUCCAUUUCCUGUCACAGGGAAAUUAAAAUCCUGUUAAAGCAAACUUUGCGGUCUGUAGCUGCCCAGCUGGUUUAUUGUGGAUCAUUAAAAUAGUCCUUGAGUUAUAAUUACCAGGAUUCAUGAACUUGAUCGAUGAAA